GAUGAACGCUGGCGGUCUGCUUAACACAUGCAAGUCGAACGAACUCUUCGGAGUGAGUGGCGGACGGGUGAGUAACGCGUGAGAAUCUGCCUGUGGGUCGGGGACAACUACUGGAAACGGUGGCUAAUACCGGAUGAGCCGAAAGGUAAAAGAUUUAUUGCCCACAGAUGAGCUCGCGUCUGAUUAGCUAGUUGGUAAGGUAAAAGCGUACCAAGGCGACGAUCAGUAGCUGGUCUGAGAGGAUGAGCAGCCACACUGGGACUGAGACACGGCCCAGACUCCUACGGGAGGCAGCAGUGGGGAAUUUUCCGCAAUGGGCAAAGCCUGACGAGCAAGACCGCUGGGGAGAGUUUUGAUGUAACCCUUUGUCAAGGAGAAGCUCUGACGGUACUUGACGAAUAAGCCUCGGCUAACUCCGUGCCAGCAGCCGCGGUAAU
rnacentral:rRNA from 1 species